AGGCAGGCGGGCGGGCGCCGGGGAAGCCUCCUUCUGGGCAGCGAGUGAGGGCGGGCGCGCAGGGAGGGAGGGCGGCAGCGAGCCUGCGACGGGAGAGGCGCGGGGAGGAGAGCCCGGCGCGGAACACACGCGCGGAGGAGGAGCCGGGCUCGGCUCCCGGAGAGACCUGCUGGGCGCCCGCGCAGCCCGGAGACCCCUCGCGCCCGGAGCAUGAGCCCGAGCCCCGCCGGAGAGCGGCCGGGAGAGACGGCCUCGGCGCAGCCCUGAGACGCUGGGCCGGGACGCGGGGCGCCCUGGGCGCGGGGCCCGGCCAGGGGGCGGCGGCUCGGGGGGUUGGAGCCCGCGCUGGCGGCGGCCGCCUCGGCGCAGCGCCAUGGGGAGCCCCCGGGCCGCGCGGCUCCCGCUGCUCCUGCGCCCGGUGAAGCUGCUGCGGAGGCGCUUCCGGCUGCUGCUGGCGCUCGCCGUGGUGUCUGUGGGGCUCUGGACUCUGUAUCUGGAACUGGUGGCGUCGGCCCAGGUCGGCGGGAACCCCUUGAACCGGAGGUACGGCAGCUGGAGAGAACUGGCCAAAGCUCUGGCCAGCAGGAACAUUCCAGCUGUGGAUCCACACCUCCAGUUCUACCAUCCCCAGAGGCUGAGCCUCGAGGACCAUGACAUUGACCAAGGGGUGAGCAGUAACAGCAGCUACUUGAAGUGGAACAAGCCUGUCCCCUGGCUCUCAGAGUUCCGGGGCCGCGCUAACCUGCAUGUGUUUGAAGACUGGUGUGGCAGCUCUAUCCAGCAGCUCAGGAGGAACCUGCAUUUCCCACUGUACCCCCAUAUUCGCACAACCCUGAGGAAGCUUGCUGUGUCCCCCAAAUGGACCAACUAUGGCCUCCGCAUCUUUGGCUACCUGCACCCCUUUACUGAUGGGAAAAUCCAGUUUGCCAUUGCUGCAGAUGACAACGCGGAGUUCUGGCUGAGCCUCGAUGACCAGGUCUCAGGCCUCCAGCUGCUGGCCAGUGUGGGCAAGACUGGAAAGGAGUGGACCGCCCCGGGAGAGUUUGGGAAAUUUCGGAGCCAAAUUUCCAAGCCAGUGAGCCUGUCAGCCUCCCACAGGUACUACUUCGAGGUGCUGCACAAGCAGAAUGAGGAGGGCACCGACCACGUGGAAGUUGCGUGGCGACGGAACGACCCUGGAGCCAAGUUCACCAUCAUUGACUCCCUCUCCCUGUCCCUCUUCACAAAUGAGACGUUCCUACAGAUGGAUGAGGUGGGCCACAUCCCACAGACAGCAGCCAGCCACGUGGACUCCUCCAACGCUCUUCCCAGGGAUGAGCAGCCGCCCGCUGACAUGCUUCGGCCUGACCCCCGGGACACCCUCUAUCGAGUGCCUCUGAUCCCCAAGUCGCAUCUCCGCCACGUCCUGCCUGACUGUCCCUACAAACCCAGCUAUCUGGUGGAUGGGCUUCCUCUGCAGCGCUACCAGGGACUCCGGUUUGUUCAUCUGUCUUUUGUUUACCCCAAUGACUAUACCCGCCUGAGCCACAUGGAGACCCACAAUAAAUGUUUCUACCAGGAAAACGCCUACUACCAAGACCGGUUCAGCUUUCAGGAGUACAUCAAGAUUGACCAGCCUGAGAAGCAGGGGCCGGAGCAGCCAGCAGGUUUUGAGGAAAACCUUCUAGAAGAGUCCCAGUAUGGGGAAGUGGCAGAGGAGACCCCUGCCUCCAACAACCAGAAUGCCAGGAUGCUCGAGGGAAGACAGACACCUGCCUCCACCCUGGAGCAAGACGCCACUGACUACCGCCUCCGAAGCCUGCGGAAACUCCUGGCUCAGCCCCGGGAGGGCCUGCUGGCCCCCUUCUCCAAGCGGAACUCCACAGCGUCCUUCCCAGGGAGGACCAGCCACAUUCCAGCGCAGCAGCCAGAGAAGAGGAAGCAAAAACCCAGCCCUGAGCCCAGCCAAGAUUCACCUCAUUCUGACAAGUGGCCUCCUGGGCACCCUGUGAAGAACCUGCCUCAGAUGAGGGGGCCCAGGCCCAGGCCCGCUGGUGACAGCCCCAGGAAGACUCAGUGGCUGAACCAGGUGGAGUCGUACAUCGCAGAGCAGAGACGGGGUGACAGGAUGCGGCCUCAGGCCCCCGGAAGGGGCUGGCAUGGGGAGGAGGAAGUGGUGGCGGCCGCAGGCGAGGAAGGACAAGUGGAGGGAGAGGAAGAGGGGGAAGAAGAGGACGAGGAAGAGGAUAUGAGUGAGGUGUUCGAGUACGUACCUGUGUUUGACCCGGUAGUAAACUGGGACCAGACCUUCAGUGCCCGGAAUCUCGACUUCCAAGCCCUGAGGACUGACUGGAUCGAUCUGAGCUGUAACACAUCUGGCAACCUGCUGCUUCCAGAGCAGGAAGCUCUGGAGGUCACGCGAGUCUUCUUGAAGAAGCUCAACCAGAGGAGCCGGGGGAGGUACCAGCUACAGCGCAUUGUGAACGUGGAAAAGCGUCAGGACCAGCUACGUGGGGGUCGCUACCUCCUGGAGCUUGAACUGUUGGAACAAGGCCAGCGCGUGGUGCGGCUCUCGGAGUAUGUGUCUACACGAGGCUGGCAGGGCAUCGAUCCAGCUGGUGGGGAGGAGGCCGAGGCCCGGAACCUGCAAGGCCUGGUCUGGGACCCACACAACCGUAGGAGACAGGUCCUGAAUACCCGGGCCCAAGAGCCCAAGCUGUGCUGGCCUCAGGGUUUCUCCUGGAGUCACCGAGCCGUGGUCCACUUCGUCGUGCCUGUGAAGAACCAGGCACGCUGGGUACAGCAAUUCAUCAAAGACAUGGAAAACCUGUCCCAGGUCACCGGUGACCCACACUUCAACAUCGUCAUCACUGACUAUAGCAGCGAGGACAUGGAUGUUGAGAUGGCGCUGAAGAGGUCCAAGCUGCGGAGAGGGCUCACCUGCCCAUAAUCCCAUCCCAGGAGCACACAUCAUCUCUCUUCUAUGCCUGCCAACUUCCUCCAGGGGACCACCGCAGCUGAGUCCUGAUACUCAGCCCUCUCUCCCCUUCCUGCAGCUACCAGUACGUGAAGCUAAGUGGAAACUUUGAACGCUCAGCUGGACUUCAGGCUGGCAUAGACCUCGUGAAGGACCCGCACAGCAUCAUCUUCCUCUGUGACCUCCACAUCCACUUCCCAGCUGGAGUCAUCGAUGCCAUUCGGAAGCACUGUGUGGAGGGAAAGAUGGCCUUUGCCCCCAUGGUGAUGAGGCUGCAUUGUGGGGCCACCCCCCAGUGGCCUGAGGGCUACUGGGAGGUGAAUGGGUUCGGGCUGCUUGGCAUCUACAAGUCUGACCUGGACAGGAUUGGGGGCAUGAACACCAAGGAGUUCCGAGACCGCUGGGGCGGGGAAGACUGGGAGCUGCUGGACAGGAUACUCCAAGCGGGCCUGGACGUGGAGCGUCUCUCCCUCAGGAAUUUCUUCCAUCAUUUCCAUUCCAAGCGAGGCAUGUGGAGCCGCCGCCAGAUGAAGACGCUGUAGCCGGAGGGUGUCCGCUGGGCCCAGCACUCCCCGCUCUGGACUAGCAGCGGCUCCCCAGGGCCCUGCUACUGUUCAGGGAUGGGGAGUGGGGUGACGGCUGGACCCCAAGAGGCCUCGAAGCUGACGGCCCACUCCACCUGGAGCUGUCCCCUCACAGAGGCGGGUUCCGGGGCUCCUGUCUCUGCCUCCUGGGCCUUCAGAAGGGAGGACUUUGAGAGAGAGGCCAGGAGGGGCCACUUGCUCAGUCGAGCACGGGAAGAGCUCCUGAGAAGGACGGGUCGGGAAGGAGAGAUCUGACUGAGCGACACCAUCCUCAUCCACGGAGGUGCACGCCCACAUCCCCCAAGCGCUCCUCACGCCAAGCGCUGACACCAGACCCUCUUCUAGUGGACGUGUUUUAUUGGGGGGCGGGGAUUUUAAACACAGAAAACCGAAACUGCUGUCCAGAGCGGGGGUGAGGUUGUGCACUGAGGGACCGUCCCCACGUGCAGGCCUCCCGCCCACUCCUAUGUCCCUUGGGCGUUGUCCCUGGCCGCGGGGCUGGUCCCACGUGGGGCGGGUCUCUGCUCCACCCCAGGCUCGUGCCUUCCAGAGACACACAUCUCCCAGUAGCCACCAAACAGCUGGCCACUGAUUAGGGCAUUAACUUCCUCCGGAUGGCUCACGUCAGACCAGAAGCACAGAACGGGCUGUUUCUGGUGCUUGGGCAUUGGGAGGUGGGGAGCUGGCGGGCAGGGGGCUUGCCACUCCCUGGCACUGGACAUUGAGGCCUGCAGAACAGGCAGGGUGAUGAAGGCAGGGGAGAGAAGCCCUUUCCCUUCCCGGCAUGCCUGUGGGUAAGGCCUCCCGAGAGGACAUGGAGAAGAGGUAAAGAGGAUGUGGACAUAUCUGUCAAUUUCCUUAGGCAAGAAGCGGGUGGGGGCUGGACAGAAAGGGACGAAAAGGGAAGUGGAAGCUGUGAGCCUCACAGUCCAGCUCCACUGCAGACCUGCCCUUCUGCCCACCUGGCCUUGAGUGGAAGAAGAGGAAAGGGUGUAUGGGGGCAAAUCCCUGGACGGGGAGCAGGAUAAGAAGGGGGUGGGAUGAGAGGUUUGGGGAGGUGAGGACAUUGCCCUGAGAUAUCCCCUGGAAGCAGGGAGAGGAGUGGGACAGGAGGAACUGAAGAGUGGGGCAGUUUCAGGGAAAAUAGCCCUUAGCCUUUUUAGUCGACGCCACCCUUUCUGUCACCUGGUGACCUUGUACUUCUCUUGCACUAAUAACCCCGGUGCUUUUGUGGCUGGGGGUUUUUUCUAUUGCUGCUGCUGCCUCCGCCACUGCUGUGAAUUCACCCAUGGUGCAUUGGACACUGGAUCUUGAACUCCAGAGUCUGUUUAGGGAGGUGAGCACAGGGCUGGGGGAGGUGCGGCGGGGCCCAGAAGACCAGGCCACUGAGCCCGCGCUCCAGGCUGUGACGGUCCGAACCACAGCACUGGAGCUGCAGGGUCUGCCUAGUGGGCUCUGCAUUCCCUGAGAGCACGAGUUUGGCACAUGGGAGAAUAGAGCCCGUGGAGAACCUUCUGGGGGUUUGGCGAGAAUCCCUGCCUCCCUUUAAGGAAUCAUGAAGGACAGAGACUUUUGAUAUUGUGGCUUAGGAAGGCCAUACCUGCUCCCUGGGCUGUGGCUUCUUCUGGUCCCUGCUGAGGCCGACUGGCCCCUGGAGAAGGAUCGCGGGGCAUAGGCUGGGGCUGCAGUUGGCCAGUGGGGCUGCCAGUUUCUUUCUGGGACCACUCUCGUCCUCGGGCAUUGCACUGGAAGGCUGGAACCAGCCCAAACUGCCCACCUGCUUCACUUCCAAUGACUAGGAGCCAGCCCAGCCUCCUGCCCUGCCCACACCCCUGCGCCCUGGGCCAGUGCCUUGCGUUUGAUGUUACCUCCACACCAUCUGCCUUAAGAGGAAGGGCCGGGCGAGGCCCCUACUCCCUAGAGAAAUGUCUUGGGUAGGGGAGGGUGUGGGGUGGUGGGAGGGGAAGCAUUAAAUACAGCAACUUCUUAGAAAAAAAAAAAGGUGCUUGUCUUUUCCUGUUGCUCUUCACGGAUGUAAAGGAUUGGGCUGAGGGGCCCAGGUGGGCGUGCCAAGGACCCUCCCACACCACCCUCCACCCUUACCACAAGUGUGAUGCCUGCUGUGUGUGCGAUGGCCUUCUCUGCACUGCAGUUUACUCAGGAAGAAGACAACAUUGUUCCUGUCUGAGCAGCUCACCGUGUAAUAGACUAGGCAUUUUCUGUUCAGCAGAUUAAUGGAGGUUGGUGGUUUUAGCCGAGGAAAGCUAUGGAUACGCUGGGUGGAGAAGGCUAGAUGUAGGGCCAGAACGGUUUGGUGAGCAGUGGAGAGAAGCCAACGAGUGGCUGUUUCUAAACUGGCAGACCUUCUAAAAAUCAUUUCUGUUUGAGUUGGCAAUGCUUUGCUAAUGCUUUACAGAUUUACCUUGCUCGUUAUAUUUGGCCCAGGCAAAGAUCAAAAUGAGUUUGCAGUCCUUAAACACAUGCCUAAGGGAAGCUGAGACUGAAAGCCAGAAUAGCUUACAGCAGGUUCGUGGAGAAGAUUGUGCAUAUGUGCAUCCAUCUGCAAUGGACUAAUCUACAGUUCAUGGGGCAGAUGACGAUAAGCGCAAGGCAUCUGGGCCAGGAACAUUGGCUCCAAGCAGAACCCACAGAGGAGGAAGUAAUUUGAAAGCCUUCCCACCCUCCAGGUCUGCGGUUUGCUCUCUUGAGGCCUCUCCAAGGCACAGAUGGAGACCAGCCUGGAUGCCUGAGCCUGCAGGACUAGACAAGUAAGUGGACUCAAGAGUGGAUUUGAAGAAACCUUUAUAGAUAUAGAUUCCAUUUUACAAGAAGGGAAAACUGAGGCCUGGAGCAGAAGGAAGCAGUGGGGUAGAGUCAGAACCAGCAUCCUUAAGCCGGGCAGACUUGGCCUUAGACAGACAUGCCUUACUUAGGUCCAGCAGAUGCUACCAGGAAGGUAUGGCUGGCAGUACCUGCGUCUGAGCUCAGGACUCCAGACCAAGAUGGAAGUCCCUUAGACCAAUAACAAAAAAAUCACUUUUUAACUCAGGUGCUGUGGGUAGGGAGCAAGGGCAGCUAUACUGUCCUUUCAGAAGCUCUCCUGGGCUGUGGAAAGUGCCCACGAGCCUGGCAGAUCACGGAGGAAGGAGGCAGAAGUUCCAGGCCCAGAACCUGUUGGGGAAGCAGAGAAGAGGCAAUGAGGAUGGCAGGCCAGAUCAAUGCCCCUCAACCUUCAGCAUGCCCAGGAUGCACCUGGCCACGUUACUCAUGCACAUGCCUGUAGCACAUGCUCGAGCAGAGCCUGAGAGUCUGCAUUUCCAGCAAGUUCCUGGGUGGUUUGUGGAUGCUGCUGACCCAUGGACCACAGUCAGUAGCAAGAGCUGCUAGACAGUGGCAGGGAGAAAUGCCCCAUCUCCACCUUUCCUCUUGCCGGAGGGGCAGAGUCAACCACUAAUGGCAUCGCCUCCACCCUGUCCCAGACCGUGGGAAAACCUGAGCCUGAGAGCAGAGAGCCAUUAACACAGCAGUGGGGCUUCGUGCAAGCCUCGCCGAGGCCAGGCUCUUGCAGAUCCUCUCCUUGCUCUCAGAGCUACAGGCCUUCCCCCUUUGUUUGGCAAGGGAUCUGUUUCUUGCCCCAAAGCCCCAGAGGAGAGAGAAGAGCCACCUGGGGAGUCCCUGGAGCUGGGGUUCCUCCAUCCUCCCUCACCUGGGUCCCAGGCUGCAUUCAGAGAGGAUUCCUUGAGGCCCUGGCAGCCAGGAACCCUGUCUUAUGUGCCCCGAAGGCUGUAAUGAAAACAUUGAUGACCACAGUGAAGAAGACCAAGAUGGUGGCUGCGUUGUUGAGCUGGUUGAGUCGCCACUGCUUUUCUACCUCAUUCAGGUUCAGCCGUGCUGCAGGGAAGUGGAGUGGGGGGAAAGGGUCAGAGACGGGGCCACAGCACGGAGCUGCCCCCACAACACCCACCAGAGUUUGGAGAGAGGGGCCCUUCAGAAACCCAUGUGGCAGAAAUCAAGGGAGGUGGUCGUCAUCGGGCUGAGAUGCCUCUGCCCUCGCCAACCAGUAGAUGGGGCACCCUAGUGUGCUUCAUCCCACCAGGAUUUGGGAACUUAAGCUGGGUCCUGUAGGCGUGGGGACGAGUGCUCAUGGAGAAGCGGUGAGCGAGUGAGUGAGUUAGCAGUUAGCGAGGUGCUGGCACAGUCAUUCAGCAGGUACUGCGGAGGGUCUGCUCCAUGGGAUACCAGGAGACAGGACAGGGCGCCUGCCCUCGCGGGGUGGAAGUUGGUCUUUGGGCCUCUGUUAGCGGAGGGCUCGCUGCAGGUCAGCGUGUGGUUGUGAAGCUGCCUGUGCCAAUGCAGGGUGGCCCAGGGGACACGUGGGGCCUUUCUGCCAGCCACGGGUGCCGAGGCAGAAGGCCUGACUGCAGGCUGGGCUCCUCACCAAUGACCACGAGCAGGACACCGAUGACCACCUGCAGGAGCAGAGAGAGGCUGAUGAGGGUGACCAGGGUGGGGUAGUAGUGAGAGGAUGGUCCCUGCUCCAGCACCGCCUUCAGCCGCAUGGCGUUGGACAUGAACAGGGCCACGUCCAGCAUGCUCUCCGCCACGCUCUUCUUGGUGGCGUAAUGGUUCAGGUUGAUGGGCUGGCUCCUGGGGUCGGAGCUUCCAGGCUGUAGGGGAGAAAGCGCAGACUUACGAAGGGGAGCUCUGGAAGGGAAGCAGUUGAGAGGUGGGAGAGAGGAGAGAGGUCUUAAAGCUCUUUCCAAACCAGAUGGGAAGCUCAGGGCAAAUGACACCCUUAGUUUCAUGGCCUGAUAAAAUGAAGGGUUGGACGAGAAAACCCAUAAGGACCUCUGCACUCUGAAAUGACUUUCUGUUGCAGUUGAUACUUCCUGGAGAGUCACCCCUUCCCUCACACCUUCACACAUCUGGCUGGAGAAAGCCGGGAGGGUUCUCUGCUGCUGGUAAAAUGCACCUUCCUCACCCUAUUCACUAUUUUACCUGGGCCAGGCCUCAGCUUUGGGCUGUGUUCUUUUCCUCUGAGAGGAAAGCACCUGAGAAGACAAUAAAAAGAGCUUGGAGGCUUGGGUGAAAUAGAGAAAGGCACCUCCUCUCGCAUAAUGCCAUGGCCCCCAAGGCAGGGUGCACAGCUCAGCAGCUGAUCAUCAGCUGGAUUUCCAACCCUCAGGAGCACUGGAGCUGCCGCCCUGCUCAGGCACACACGCUGUCAGACACAGGCUCUCAGCAUACACAUGCAUGCAUGCAUGAGUGUAUACACACAGUAAUGCAUACUAAACACUCACAUCAUUUUAAUUAUUACUUUUGGCUAGGAUUUAUUGAAGCAUAAUUUACUAAAGCUUCUCCAGAAGCCACUAACUCCAAAAGACAGAAUCACAAUACAGGGCAUAUGCUGUGGGCCUCUGGGUUGGGCCAAGAAAUUCAGACUGGGCGCCAUGACCAAGGGCAAUCUGCAGUCACUCAAGAGUACUUGGAAGAUUGAUUUAGCAGUGGUGCUUGGAACAGAUUGGGCCAGGAAGGGCUAGAAGCAGGGAGAGUCAUUUAAAAGUUACAGUAUUGAUUUAGGAUCAGGGUGAAAAGGAACUGAAGUGGAGCAAGGUGAGACAGGAAGGAAUGGAGGACUCUGAAGGAUGCUACGGCCUGGAGGUAGGGAAGAUGACCAGCAGAUCACCAUGACAGGACAGAUACCUGCCGAGUGGGGAGAGACGGAUGGAUUGAAGGAUGCUACGGCCUGGAGGUAGGGAAGAUGACCCAGCAGAUCACCAUGACAGGACAGAUACCUGCCGAGUGGGGACAGAUGGAUGGAUAGAUGGAUGCGUGCCUAUAUAUGCACAGUGGUGCAUACUAGUUAAACACUCAUAAUUUGUUUUUAAUUUUUUUGGCUAGGAUUUAUUGAAGCAUAAUUUACAUUUGAUUUUGUUUUGAAGUAUAAGGUGAAGGGAUGGAUGGAUGGAUGGAGAGAUUGGUGGGUGGAUGGAUGGAUGGAUGGAUGUGUGGAUGAUUGGAUAGGCAGGUCUCAGAGGGUCUGGAAUGUUCCUUGUACUUCGUGCAGCCCCAGCAAGUCACUUCACUUCUCUGUACCUCAGGGAUUUACACAGAGGACAGUUGAUUUACACAUAGGCUAACUGAUUUACCUAUCUAUCAGAACCUUUGGAUUCUAUGAGCCCUUAGGAUACCCUGAAAUGAGGCUGAGUGCGGUGGCUCAUGCCCGUAAAACUCCAGCACUUUGAGAGGCCAAGGCAGGGGGAUCAUUUGAGGUCAGGAGUUUGAGACUAGCCUGGCCAACAUGGCAAAAUCCCGUCUCUACUAAAAAUACAAAAAAAUCAGCUGGGUAUGGUGUCACACGCCUGUAAUCCCAGCUACUCAGGAGGCUGAGGCAGGAGAAUCACUUGAACCAGGAGGCAGAGGUUGCAGUGAGCAGAGAUCACACCAUUGCACUCCAGCCUGGGUGGCAGAGUAAGACUCUUGUCUCAAAACAAAAACAAAAACAAAAACAAAACUCUGAAAUGCAGUGGUCUCCAGACUUUCUUGAUAGUGUAAUCUCAGCAUUAAAAACUGUUUUGGCCAUGCAUCCUCAAUAUAUGUACAUUCUUCCAUUAUCAACUGUACAUAUUUUUAUUGGACUAAUUAUAUAUAUAGUAAAAUAUGCAAAAGUAGAAACAUUUGAAAGGAUUACAUAAAAUUCAAUAUAAAUAGAAGUUUAAUUUUCUUAUCCUAAAAUAUGGUCUUGGGCACUCGUCUUUGGAGAUCCAGCUCUAAUCCACAUGCCUGGCUACAGAUUGGACCAAUCCUCUCCUAGGCCAACAGAAGGGAGCCUCUCUUCCCCAGUCCUUCUCCUAACGUUUGCCUUCAAAACUCAGCCCCACGUUUCCACCCUGCUCUUCUCACUUCCUUUCCAAGCUCCUGGCCCUUUGCUCUGUUUGCCAGGAGGGUGCACACGCACAGACACAUUCAAGAGGCACAGGGUGGUCAUGGGUGCUAACAGCACCUGCUCUGAUGGAAUCCACCCUGGCAGCCUGUGCCCCGCAGGCUGCCCCUCUCUGACUCUGUGGACCAGUCACUGGAGGAUCAAACAUACAGGAGUGGCUCUUUCACUCUGACCACACUCCAGGCCAUCAGCUUUCUACACGGGGCAGUUCCCUGCACCUGGGUUGUUCGUUAUUGAGAUUCCGAGUGUCCUCAACUUCUGGUCGGGGCAGGACUCACAGAGGGUAAUCAGGAGUGUGCACUUUGGCCAGUGGAGCAAUUUAAACACUUUCUCUGGGAGAGUAGAAUGGAGACCAGCGGGUAGCAUUCCUUCAAUAGAUUGACUGUACAUGCCAGGCGGUGCUUGGGGCUGUGAGGACCCCAAUGCCAAACAAGGCAUAGUUGCUGUCCCUCCUUGGGAUCCCGGGUAAGCACUGGGCCACAGGCUGCUCACAACAGGCCCUGGCAAACUCCUUUUGACAGCCACCAAAAUCAGGCUGGGGCCCAGGGCCCACAGAAAUAAGAAAAAAGGCCAUAGGCACGAAAGGAAUGGAGUGCUCACUAUCUCUCCCGUCUUCCUUCGUGUUUGAUUUUGCUGGGGCCGGGGUUUCAGCUGGUGCUGGGGGCAGCCAGUGAGGUUGGAGGAGGUAGGGACGGAGGGUGAAUGAGGACCUGCAUGGACUUGGGAGGCCACACAUGGUGUUCAGGGCCUUUGGAAAUCCAGUUCAAGCAAGGCUGGCUUGUCUAGGGCCAGCUGGCCUGGUUGGUUAGGGCCAGGGAUCCCAGGGCCAACACUUCACAAAGGCCCAUGGUCGCUGUCGGCCCCAAGGCUGCAACCUGUGGUCUUAGCCCAUUUGGUGAAGGUUUGUCCUCGGUCUCCAAGAGCACUCAUUAGGCAAGAGAGUCUCACCCCCUGCCCCCAAAUUCAAAGUGUCUCUGCCCAGGUUCAACUGUGCCCCCUGGCCUCCCUGCCCCAUGGCUGUGCCACCCCUCCUCUCUCUUCCCAUCCUCCAGUUUGUCCGGUAGCAGCAAGCUUUGCCCUUUCUCCUCCCUCCUGGUCUAGCUCAGAGGGAGACAGACCCCCUUCCCCCAGAUGUAUUGUUAACAGUGGACAAAACCUUACACCCAAACCUCUAGUGGUAUGUGUUGAGCACUGACCAAAUAGUGGGGGAAGGGGUGGCAGGGGGUGGCAGGGGUGAGUACUCGGGCAGCACAGAGGUCUUCCCAACCUCUAUGGAAGGUAUUGCUAUUUGUAAGUUUUAACAGAGCUGGUUGGCCUUUGUUGUUACAUUAAUCUAAGAGCCAUUGCUUCACAGAGGACGUGAGGCUCGCAGUGUGCUUAGGGGGUGCGCCUCAUCCUUUCCUCUCUAAAUGCGGGGCCGACUCAGGCCUGCCUUUCACUGCGGGUGCUGGGCGGGAUCAGGGUGUCCCCUCCUGCUCCGCAGGCGCCGGUUUUCCAGAGUGUCCACACGGUGGCGCGCGCGGUCCAGAGAAGUGACUUGGGCACCGCGGCUGCCGGGUGGUGUUUCCACCCCGAGGAACCCACGCGCAGGACGGGAUUCAUGGGAAACCUGGACCCCUCCGAGGCCCAGGACGGGAGCCUCGCCCACAAGUCUGGACGGGCCGAACUAAAACCCACCAAACGCGUGCGUCAAGCCAGAGUUCAAGAAUCAACCGAAGGUGAAAUGGGGCCAGCGUGGGGUGGGGAGACCGAGAAGGGAGGGGCCUCCAGCACAACCUGCAGCCCAGGGGACGGCGGGCAGAAGGGCCGUCAGUGAGGCCCUGGGCGAAGGUGCCUGGAAAGGGGUCCUCUCAUUGCAGCAUCUUUAAAAGCAGGGAACGGGUUUUUCUAAUCCUUGUGGGCCAGUUUAGGUGCAGCCCUGCUCAGAGGCAGAGGGAUGGAUGGAAUGACCUGAGGCCCCUCCCUUCUAGUGGGAGGAGAGGAUCAGAUAAAGCCCUAAAUCCUGCAGGGGGUCAUCCUUUUCGCCCACAGCCCAGGGACUGGGAGCAACUCCACAAGGGUCAGGAUGACAAAGGAGUGGGGAGCGCAGCAGGGUGGCCCCGCUCCUGCUCAGAGGAGCUGGCCCUUUAAGGCCAGGCCCAGGCGGGUCGGGAACAGAGACCCGGGAAUGUGGGCUGGACUGAGGAGCAGAGCCACCCAGCAUGAGUCAUUCCUGUUUCACCGGACUCUUCACCGCUGGCUCUCGCUUGCCGCCCUCCCCUUGCCCUGGCCCUGGCCCUGGCCCUGGCCUCUGCGCCCUCCCUGCAGAGCUGGUCCGGGUGGGCUGGCGGCUUCCACCCGCCACAAGCGCACAGGGCUCUGCCCACUCCCCGCCCCUUUUCUGCUGAUCCUCGAGGAGCAGGGGGCCGGUGGGCUAGGACUGCUGGUUUCUGGGCCCAGCUCUGCCUCUGGGCUUGGAACUUUGGUGCUUAGUUUCCACAUCUAUAAAACUGGAGGAAAAUCCCAUCUCUGGAGGGCAGAGGCCAUGGACAGCAGAACGACACUUUGCUCCUUCACAGAAGGAAGGACAGAAUCCAAGCGGUUCCCAUUUUCCCAGGCUGAGAUCCCUCUCUAAAUGAGGCUGGCUCUCGGUAUCUUCCUCAGGUCUCAUUCUGCCCUGCCCCACUUGCCCCUCCCCUGCCACUCAAGGGCGGCAGGACACUGACCCAAGACUCAUUGCUUUGGGCUCCCAGAGUCCCUGUUCAAGGCGCGGUUGCCUGUGGGAAAGGCUGCCCAUCAAAAUCUGGCCAAGCAAUGACACCUGGACAGACGGGGAGUUUGGGGCGGCAUGAAGCUGGAGCGCGGCCAGUGCAGGGAAGGUGGGAGUAGAUCCAGAGUUUGAUCUGGACGCCCCUGGGCAUCUGGGCAACAAGAGGACGUGGGUUUGGUGAUUGGCAUGGGAUGAGGCAGGGGGGUGGGGGACACCAGAGACCCAGCGGUUUGCCCCAUUCCUGGGCCUGCCCGGCACAGUCAUUACCCUCCCUCUUCCGCGCCCUCCUCUCUCGUUCCAGCUCAGACUUCCCUGUCACCUAGGCCUCUUGCCAAGUCCCAGCUCCUAAGGCUGGUGCGAUUCCAUCCCUUGAAGUCAAGGAUUGCUUCAUUGUUCUGCCAGACAGCCCUUUAUCCCUUAAUCCUUGUUGGCCUAUAUUUUUGUUUAUUUACAGAACUUAGGUUGGAUAGGAAAGGAAUGCCUUUUUUAACAGAAAAGUAAACAUGUUUUUCAUUGUUUAUCCGCUUUAUGGUCAGUGGGGACCAUAAGCUCCAACAGAUCAUUCUGCUCUUUCUUGGAAACAAGAUUACAGGGCUGUUCUCCCAGAGGGCCGUGGAGGUUGGGUAAACCCCAGAGUGGUAAGUAACUGCCCUACCAAAAAGCCAUGGAGCCCGCAGAUCAGUGUGUUUAGGCCCUGGGGCCUGUGGCAGGCAGUGUGUGUCCCAUGGGAAGUGUAGGCCUGGUGAGGGGAGUUGUAGCAGCCCGGAGGGCGUCACCAAAGGCACCUUGACCACAUUCCAGCCCUGCUUUAAUGAGUGAGCAAUCCGGGCCGGGAGCACUGGACGCCUUUUCUUAUCUGCGAGGUCGAAGGGACUGGAACACAGGCUUCCUUGGGUCCUUCCUAGCACGGAGUAAUCUAGGGAUGGGAAAGCCGGCUCUGAGCAGAGAAUCCCGGGGGCUGAGGACGUCGCUGAGAGGCCACUGCAGGGCAUGGGUGACCCUCCCAUGAGUCGUUCCUGCCAGCCCUGAGAACACCCACGUGGGAGCUUCCUGUGUGCCAGCUCACAGUCAGGGCUACACACUAGCAGGGAGCUUCCUGUGUGCCAGCGCACAGUCAGGGCUACACACUAGCAGGGAGCUUCCUGUGUGCCAGCGCACAGUCAGGGCUACACACUAGCAGGGAGCUUCCUGUGGGCCAGCGCACAGUCAGGGCUACACACUAGCAGGGAGCUUCCUGUGUGCCAGCGCACAGUCAGGGCUACACACUAGCAGGGAGCUUCCUGUGGGCCAGCGCACAGUCAGGGCUACACACUAGCAGGGAGCUUCCUGUGGGCCAGCGCACAGUCAGGGCUACACACUAGCAGGGAGCUUCCUGUGGGCCAGCGCACAGUCAGGGCUACACACUAGCAGGGAGCUUCCUGUGGGCCAGCGCACAGUCAGGGCUACACACUAGCAGGGAGCUUCCUGUGGGCCAGCUCACAGUCAGGGCUACACACUAGCAGGGAGCUUCCUGUGGGCCAGCGCACAGUCAGGGCUACACACUAGCAGGGAGCUUCCUGUGGGCCAGCGCACAGUCAGGGCUACACACUAGCAGGGAGCUUCCUGUGUGCCAGCGCACAGUCAGGGCUACACACUAGCAGGCCCAGAGGAACAGGGGCCUGUCACCCUGCUGGUGGCCUCAAAAUGACCGACUGCCCGGGAAAGCCAGGCCUCCCUUGAGAAGGGGACAGUGGCGACCUAGGCUUUUGGAAAGCUGAUUUCUCACAAAGGGAAAGGGUGGGUCCCAGCCUGGGAAGAGUGAUUCGUUCAAAGGAAGGGGCUUAGGUGAGCUUUUAAUUCGGUGUCAGUCCCCUUGUCAGAAUUCAGUUGGGAAGGGUGCCUGGGCCUGUCCCACUGUGUGCACACACAGUGGGCUGUCAGCACACUGGAACGAUGGUGGUUCCCACUUACAGAGGACAUACCUUGUGCCUGCCACAGGGUUAAACACAGGACAUGAGUCACCUUAUGUAGUCCUCACAACAGUUCUGCGAAGUAGAUGAGGGCAUCAUCAUCACAGUUGAGAAAAUGGAGGCUCAGAGAGGCUAAGUAACUUGCCCAAGAUCACACAGCACAGAGUUUUAAAUCCCAAUCCUCUAUGUGCCAGAGCCUGUAAUUUUUUUUUUUUUUUUUUUUUUGAGAUGGAGUUUCACUUUUGUUGCCCAGGCUGGAGUGCAGUGGCACAAUCUCAGCUCACUGCAACCUCCCACUCCAGGGUUCAAGCGAUUCUCCUGCCUCAGCCUCCCGAGUAGCUGGGAUUAUAGGUGUGUGCCACCACACCCAGCUAAUUUUUUUUUUUUUUUUUUUUUGAGACAGAGUCUCGCUCUGUCGCCUAGGCUGGAGUGCAGUGGCGCAAUCUCAGCUCACUGCAAGCUCUGCCUCCCGGGUUGAUGCCAUUCUCCUGCCUCAGCCUCCCGAGUAGCUGGGACUACAGGCGCCUGCCACCACACCCGGCUAAUUUUUCUUAUUUUUAGUAGAGACGGGGUUUCACCAUGUUGCCCAGGCUCGUCUCGAACUCAUGACCUCAGGUGAUUCACCUGCCUCAGCCUCCCAAAGUACUGGGAUUAUAGGCGUGAGCCACCACACCAGGCCCAGAGCCUGUAAUUUUCACCCUUACUCUACUGCGCCCAAGAAGUGGAAGACAUACUCCCUACUCCAAGGAGUUUAAGAUCGAAAGAUAAACACAUGCAGUCUGGCUGGGUGUGGUGGCGCAAGCCUAUUGCCAUCCCAGCUAUUUAGGAGGCUGAGACAGGAGAAUUGCUUGAACCUCAGAGGCGGAGGUUGCAGUGGGACAAGAUUGCACCACUGCACUCCAGCCUGGGCAACAGAGCAAGAGUCCAUCUAAAACGAAAAAAACAGAAAAACAAAAAACAAACAAACAAACAAAAAAACAGAUAAAAAACAAAAACAUAUGCAGCCUAAGAUGAAAGAAGACUAGUCCCAUAGGGUACACAUGCACACUUACUAAGAGGAGGCAUAACCUCUACCUGAGUGAAACUUGUCUGAGGCUUUCCUGAAUCUGCAGUGGGGCUGUGUCCCUGAGCCCCUGCACUGCUGCCUCAGAAGGGGCACUAGACCCAAAGACCCAAAGGCAAAAGGCUUGGGUUCAAACUGGUAAGAAGGGACCUGGGUGACUGGAAGAACAGGGUUGAGAGAAGGAAUGUUAUCUGUACCUUUUGAAUUUUGAAACAUGUGAACGAACUAUCAUCUUAAAAAAUAAAUUUGGCCGGGCAAGGUGGCUCACGCCUGUAAUCCCAGCAGUUUGGGAGGCGGAUCAUGAGGUCAAGAGUUCGAGACCAGCCUGGCCAACAUGAUGAAACCCCGUCUCUACUAAAAAUACAAAAUUAGUUGGGUGUGGUGGUGCAUGCUUAUAAUCCCAGCAACUUGGGAAGCUGAGGCAGGAGAAUCACUUGAACCUGGGAAGGCAGAAGUUGCAGUGAGCCGAGAUGGUGCCACUGCCCUCCAGCCUGGGCAACAAGAGGAAAACUCUGUCUCUAAAAUAAAUAAAUAAAUAGGCCAGGCGUGGAGGGAGGUUGCAGUGAGCUGAUAUUGUGCCACUGUACUCCAGCCUGGGUGACAGAGCGAGACUCCAUCUCAAAAAAAAUAAUAAUAAUAAUAAUAAUAAAUUGGUAACAAAAGCAAAUAUGCACUCUGCUAUGGUCUGAAUGUGCCCCCUAAAGUUUAUGGGUUGGAAACUUAAUCUCUGCUGUAAUAGUGUUGAGAAGUGGGAACUUUAAGAGGCAAUUGGGUCACGAGGGCUCUGCCCUCAUUUAUGCCAUUAUCAUGGCAGUGGGUCAGGUUAUCUCAGGAUUAAAAAAAAAAAAAGAUGAGCUUGGCUCCCUUCCUCUCUCAUGCUUGCAAGCUCUCUGGCCCUGCCACCUUCUACCAGGGAAGGAUGUGGCAUGAAGGCCCUCACCAGAUGCCAAUGCAAUGUUCUUGGACUUGCCAGUCUCCAGAACCAUGAGCCAAAUACACUUCUAUUGUUUAUAAAUCACCCAGUCUCAGUUAUUCUGUUAUAGCAACACAAAACAGACCAAGACAUACCCCCAAAAGGCCAGUGGUUAAAAUAAACAUGUUAAAACAAAAGUGAAUUUAUGACUUCAUCUCACCCAGACCCUAGCUGGUCCUCCUCUGAAGUGGGAAUAAUAUCUGCCCUGUCUAGCACAAAGGGCUGUUAGAAAGAUCAAUAGGAUCAUGUGGGGGAAUGUGCUUUGAAAACUGUGAAGUAUUAAACAAAUAUGAGAUGAGAGGGAAAUCUAUCCCACAGAGGAUUAUACUCCCACGUGUGGGCCUAGAGGCAUUUCAAAUACUGUGUUGUGACUCAGGGCCCGUCCCAGCCCCAGUUUUGAAGUAGGCACCAUUUAUGGUCCUAACAACUUCCAUUGUGUUUGAAAUGCCUCCCGUACCCAUUGGGCAGCCUCUCUCCUCGCUCCUGCUGGCUCUCGCCUUCGAGCCGCCUGCAGGAAGGGAAACACUCACACAAGCCCACCUGCAUUGGGUCUCCAGGGUCACUGUUACUCAAGGGUAGUCCUCUCUCCUGGGGCCCCCACCCACCUCUCUAGCCUGGUCCCCAGCUCCUCCUCCCACCCCUGAAGAGCGAACCCUGUGCCAGGCUCUGUGAUGCUCAGACGUGCGGGGCCACACCAGAUUACUCACUGUUCCCUGAACACACCCCACCCUUCCCAGCUGCUCCUGCUCUGCUCCAGGACUAAAGGCCUUUCUUUCUUCACCAUGCUCCCCCCGGGGAAAGCCUCCCCUCCUUUCUAGACCCUGUCCCCAAGUGCACUCCACCAAGGCCCUGUUUGAAAGAAGGUCGCCUGCUCCCUGGCCUGUACUGGCCUUGGGCGUUGUUGAGUCCUCCUGAGACGGCUCCUUCUGCUGCCCACUUUAGCACACGGACCCCAUCUUCCACGGGCCUGAGUCUCCAUGGAGCCUAGCUCAGCACCUUGCCCACAUGAGGUACACAAUGAAUGAUGAUCGCAUUGAAUUUUUAUGAGACAGCUUUUUCAAAAAAGGCAAAAGUAAGGCUCUUUAAGGGUGGGGCUUCAGGCACAGGGGCUUCUGGGUGGGGGAGAGGAGUUUGGGGAGUGAAUCUUUGCUCUUAAACACCCCCACUGCAGGGAGAGCCCUUUUUUCCCUAGAUCCUGCCUUUGCUCAGCAGUCCUGAGGGAGCCUCAGGGAAUGAAUGACUGGGGCUGGAAGCUGCAGCUGGUCUUCAGGCCAAAAGCUGUAAAAGCCCAGACCCCUGAGGCCUUCUGUCUGGGGCAGGCCCCAUGCAGGCUCCUGACUGCAGCCAAGAGCAGGGAUCUCGCCCUUAAAAAUCAACAGUCUCUAAUCCACGUCGGGGUGGGGUUUCUUUUGCAUGUUAUUCCAGCAAUAAUACGUAACUGGUCCAGAAACCGCCUCUGAGCCCUGGGCACAGUCUCACUGAGAGUUCCAGCCCUUGCCCCGAGCUGCAAGCUGGGGCCUAAAGCUGCAGCACCGAGAGGCCACGUGGGGCGAGGCCUCCCCGGAAGGCCUGCGGCGCCGCCGGUGUCCACCAGGGGGCGCCAGGAAACAGCGCGGGGCGGUCCCAGCUCAACCCGCCGGCGCGGGCACACCCGGGCUUUGACCCCUUUGUGAUCGAGGAGACGGACGGGUUUCUCUCUAACAAAAGGGGGCUAUAAAUUACAAACGGAAGCGGAGUGUGUAGGGAAGAACAGGAAAGCACGUGCGUUGAAACCGGAACUCGGGGCUGCUUGCUUGCUUAUUUAUUUUAGUUAUUACUGUUUUCUUGGGGCAGGCCCUUGCUCUGUCGCCCAGGCUGCGGGGUGGUGGCCCCGUCAUAGCUCACUGCAGCCUCGACCUCGGGGCUCAAGCGAUCCUCCUGCUUCAGUCUCCCAAAGUGCCGGGACUGCAGGCGCGAGCCGCCACCCCGGCCUCCGUGCUCUUUCUUAGGGAGCAUUUUCCACCUCCCCUGCAAGAGGCCGUUUUGUCAGUAGCUUUCAGAAAAGACUGUUGUCAUCUCGGGGUUCAGAGUUAAUCGUGGAUUUACCUACCACACAGAAAUUUCCAAAGAAUCGAUCUGCUCCCUCUCAAUAUCCACCCUAAACAAGAGCACUUUCCCAAUCAGCGCCUUGUCCUGGGGCUUCCAGACCCAUCUGGCCUUUUGCUCUUUGCUCUAUGCCCACUUUAGCUGUGAGGUUCUCAGAGACAUUCCCCAAAGCCCUCCCAGCCGAUCUCUGCUGACUUCAAUCCUACUCAUCCCUCAGGGGCUAACAAAAUUGCUAAAAUUUAAACAGUAAUAAUUAAAUAAUGAUAUUGCUGUAUGUCAGGCACGACUCCACAAAGCAGGUAUUAAUACAGAUGGUCCCCAGCUUUCGCACCAUCGUAAGUGAUACACUUUACAAACUGUCCUUCGAGUAGCCAAACAACCACUCUCUUUUUCACUUUCAGUACAUUAUUCAAUGAAUUACACAAGAUAUUCAAUAGUCUCUUAUAAAGUAGGCUUUGUGUUAGAUGAUGUUGCCCAGCAGUAGGCUGGUGUAAGUGGGCUGAGCACGCUGAAGUUAAGCUAGGCUAAACUAUGAAGUUCAGUAGGCUAAGUGUAUUAAAUGCAUUUUGACUUACAAUAUUUUCAACUUACUAUGGGUUUAUCAGAAUGUAGCUCUAUCAUAAGUUGAGAAGCAACACUAGUCUCAUAUAUAUAUAUAUACAUAUAUAUAGGUACAUAUAUAUAUAAAUAUUUUGGCAUGAUCUUGGCUCACUGCAACCUCCACCUCCUGGAUUCAAGCAAUUCUCCUGCCUCAGCCUCCCAAGUAACUGGGAUGUAGUCCCAUUCUACAAGUGAAGAAGUUGAGGCUCAAAGAGGUCAAAUGCCCAAAGUCACCAGAUACUGAGGGAUGGCCCCAGUGUCUAAAUCCUAAGCCUGCGUUUUUCUCCUAUAUGCCAGUGGUUCUCCAUGUGUGCUCCUUGAAGUAGCAGCAGCAACAUCACCUGAAAACUCACUAGAAAUGAAAAAUUUUUAAAUUUUUGUAGAGAUGGGGUCUCACCAUGUUGGCCAGGCUAGUCUCGAACUCCCGAGUUCAAGCGAUUCUCCCACCUCAGCCUCCCAAACUGUUGGGAUUACAGGCGUGAGCCACUGCACCAGGCCCCGAGAUCACCCUUUUAUUUUUAUUUUUUUUUAAGACAGGGUCUCCCUCUGUCACCCUAAGGGAGGAGACCAUCCCUCACAUUGUCUUAUGCCCAAUUUCUGCCUCCAAAGAAAGAAGAAGUAAAAACUAAAAGGCAGAAAUGAAAUCCACAAGCAGACAGCCCGGCCCCACACCCUGGGCCUGGUAGUUAAAGAUCGACCCCUGACGUAAUCAGUUAUUUGUAUAAGAAAAGCACUGUGAAGAUCCCUGUCCUGUUCUGUUCCGUUCUAAUUACCGGUGCAUGCAGCCCCCGGUCACGUACCCCCUGCUUACUCAAUCAAUCAUGACCCUCUCAUGCGGACCCCCUUAAAAGUUGUGAGCCCUUAAAAGGGACAGGAAUUGCUCACUCGGGGAGCUUGGUUGUUGGAGAUGUGAAUCUUGCCGAAGCUCCUGGCCGAAUAAAGCCCUUCUUUCUUUAA